CAGCACUACCCUCAAUUCUACCCACUAUUACUUCAAACAUUGCUCCGUCAGAUCCCCCUACAACACUUGCCACGCCAUCCACAUAUUUCACCGCAACGACAAAUACAACAACCACAACAAUCGUAAUAGGUAAAAAGUGGACAUUUUUAUUAGUCUUUUCCAUCAUUGCAAUCUGUUUGGUUCUUGUGCUGGGUUGCUGCAUUCGCCAAGUAAAGUGCCUACGCAUUAUUCGCGGACCUACAUAUCAAUAAGGCAUUGCUUUCAAAACUACCGAGAGAAACGAUGAAAUAAUGGAAAUCCAGCCCUAAUUAAAGCUCAAGUUUACAGUACAAGCUGGAUUGUUUUAGUAUAUAAACAAGACAAAAAUGUAGAAAGCUUUGUUUAGACAAAAACAUAACCAAGUAAAAUUGCAAUAUUUAAUUAUACAUAAAAAUAUUUUUAAAAUUCGAUUGCCAUACACAGAAGUUAUUAUUAAUUUAACCGUUUAUUUAUAUUUUUUAAUUAAAAAUGGUCAUAAAUGAAGCUAAAACAAUGUUACAACCAAAAAUGCUCUAAGCGUUUGCAACAUUACACAAUAUAUUUGUUAGCUUUUUUUGUACCUGCUGAAAAGAGCCGCAUUUGAAAAUUUUACUGGAAAUGAGUUUACACUUUUUUCUCCAACACUUUGAA